GACGAACGCUGGCGGCGUGCUUAACACAUGCAAGUCGAACGGAAAGGCCCUGCUUGCAGGGUACUCGAGUGGCGAACGGGUGAGUAACACGUGGGUGAUCUGCCCUGCACUUCGGGAUAAGCCUGGGAAACUGGGUCUAAUACCGGAUAGGAGCCAUUUUUAGUGUGAUGGUUGGAAAGUUUUUUCGGUGUAGGAUGAGCUCGCGGCCUAUCAGCUUAUUGGUGGGGUAAUGGCCUACCAAGGCGGCGACGGGUAGCCGGCCUGAGAGGGGGGACGGCCACAUUGGGACUGAGAUACGGCCCAGACUCCUACGGGAGGCAGCAGUGGGGAAUAUUGCACAAUGGGCGCAAGCCUGAUGCAGCGACGCCGCGUGGGGGAUGACGGCCUUCGGGUUGUAAACUCCUUUCGCUAGGGACGAAGCUUUGUGUGACGGUACCUAGAUAAGAAGCACCGGCUAACUACGUG
rnacentral:rRNA from 1 species